AUCGCUUCUCGGCCUUUUGGCUAAGAUCAAGUAUAGUAUCCUUUCUUAUCAGUUUAAUAUCUGAUAUGUCCUCUAUCUGAGGACAGUAUAUUAAAUGGAUUUUUGGAGCUCAGAGUUGGAAUAGAAACUUGCUCCAUCCACUCCACACAUCGACCUGGUAUUGCUGUACCUCUAGGAAAGAGUGGUGCACCCCCU
rnacentral:snRNA from 1 species